AGCAGAGAAGGAGCCAUGCGACUUGGCUCUCAACUCAGCAAAUUCUGGAAGUGAACUGGAUCUCUCCAAGAGGGAGAUUUUACAGCCUGCAUCUUUGCUAAUCCAAAGAUUGCACGAUCCUUUUGCAAUGAAACCAAGUAAUUGUCUGUUUAAAGCCAUCUGGAACCUUUUAAUCUUUAUUUUACUGCCAGUGGAUGGAGACUUGUUUGCUGUAACUUCUGGAAACAAUGGCCGGGGGCUGUAAGAGGCAGCAGUAGCCACCCAGUGAGGAUGUCCU